rnacentral:rRNA from 1 species
UUUAGGUCUGACAUAACUCGUACGAAAGGACGGGCUAAUAUCAGAUAAACAUAACUUGGCAUCAAGUAAUUGUCAAAGCUUCGGCGCCCAAAGAUGAAGUCUGCGGACCCAUUAGGUAGUUGGUGGAUUAACAGCCCACCAAGCCAACGAUGGAUAGCUGGUCUGAGAGGAUGAUCAGCCACACUGGAACUGAGACACGGUCCAGACUCCUACGGGAGGCAGCAGUAAGGAAUAUUGCUCAAUGGGAGAAAUCCUGAAGCAGCAACGCCGCGUGAAGGAAGAAGGGUCUUCGACUUGUAAACUUCUGUAGAAGAGGAAAAUACUCCGAUAUACUCGGAAUUGAUUGUACUCUUAAAGUAAGCCCGGCUAACUACGUG